CUAUCCUGGUGCACGACCCAAUUAUCUAUCUACAAUAAAUAAAUAAUAAUACUAAAUUAAUUAAAAUAUAUAUAUGAUUAAUUCAAUAUGAAAUUAAUUUAAGUAUAGAGUUUUUAUCAAUCUAUCAGCAAUAACAUGUGUGCCAACGGAACCUCCAGUGUGCUUGAUUGGAUGCUGCUGGGUGGAUUGAUUUUAUCAUACCCUGUACUAUCAAUCAGAGUACUCCUCAGUACUCCAUUGAUCGUAGAGGACCUCUCAUAUGUCUACUCGUAUUCAAUGAUCUGUGUAAGACUUUCAGUCCGAUAGUGACUCAGAACUGGAGUACUCUAUGGUGGAUUACCGAAGGCUAUAUAGCCCAUCCCAGA
rnacentral:lncRNA from 1 species